AGUACAAUCUCAGCCUUAUUCAUUCCCUUCAGAAAAUGAAAACUCAUAGAUAUCUUUAAACUAAUUGGAUACCUUAUAAAGAUUAUAGCAAAUGGGUGUGGUAUUUUUAUGUGGCAACAUAAGAAUUUUAGCCAUCAAACUAGCACUAUUCUACAGUAAUGUUGAAGGUGGAUGAAGUAUAUCGAAUGAGUUUAUGUUGCACAGAAUACAAAAAGUGGAAGGCUGAAUAAAAAACAAGCUCCUGUUCAAGUGACCUCACUGCUUUCUGAUGACCCCCACUGGCUAUGCCACAUUUCUGGUGCUGAAUGGAUGCACAACACGUCCGUACUCAUCUGGGCUUCGAUGCAGUUGUUCAAUUUGAAAAAUGAUGGAAUGAACAAUCCUGCGUAUGGCUUCCAAACUGAAAACUCAGAACUUAAGGCUCUGGUCUGAAGUGGCCACAGUUCAUCUCUGGCCUUGACAAGCCAUUUGUUGGCCGUGGAACUCAUUACUUGAAAGAGAUUUGCUACAGCUCCCGUUAUGGUGCCUUUAGAAGAAAUAAAGAUCUCCUGCCUCACUUCCAA
ensembl:lncRNA LINC01924 long intergenic non-protein coding RNA 1924